rnacentral:tRNA from 1 species
AUUUUAAAUCUUUUUUUAUAA